ACGGACGUGUGCCCGAAUGAUUUAAGGGUUACUUUGAUAGGGUAAACUAUAGAGGUUAAAUCCCUCUCACCUCCUUA
rnacentral:tRNA from 1 species